UACGUAGGGGGCAAGCGUUGUCCGGAAUCAUUGGGCGUAAAGCGCGUGUAGGCGGUCCGUUAAGUCCGCUGUGAAAGUCGGGGGCUCAACCCUCGGAUGCCGGUGGAUACUGUCGGGCUUGAGUACGGAAGAGGCGAGUGGAAUUCCUGGUGUAGCGGUGAAAUGCGCAGAUAUCAGGAGGAACACCAAUUGCGAAGGCAGCUCGCUGGGACGUUACUGACGCUGAGACGCGAAAGCGUGGGGAGCAAACAGG
rnacentral:rRNA from 1 species